UGGGGAAUAUUGCGCAAUGGGCGAAAGCCUGACGCAGCAACGCCGCGUGAGUGAUGAAGGCCUUCGGGUUGUAAAGCUCUUUCGGCCGGGAAGAAGGGUGUGCGAGUGAAUAAUUCGUACAUUUGAUGGUACCGGAAGAAGAAGCACCGGCUAACUUCGUGCCAGCAGCCGCGGUAAUACGAAGGGUGCGAGCGUUGUUCGGAAUUACUGGGCGUAAAGGGUUCGUAGGCGGGAGCUUAAGUCAAGUGUGAAAUCCCCAAGCUUAACUUGGGACGUGCAUUUGAAACUGGGCUUCUUGAGUGUUGGAGAGGGUGACGGAAUUGCUGGUGUAGGAGUGACAUCCGUAGAGAUCAGCAGGAACACCGGAGGCGAAGGCGGUUACCUGGCCAAACACUGACGC
rnacentral:rRNA from 1 species